UGGGACUGAGACACGGCCCAGACUCCUACGGGAGGCAGCAGUGGGGAAUAUUGGACAAUGGGCGAAAGCCUGAUCCAGCAAUGCCGCGUGAGUGAUGAAGGCCUUAGGGUUGUAAAGCUCUUUUACCCGGGAUGAUAAUGGCAGUACCGGGAGAAUAAGCUCCGGCUAACUCCGUGCCAGCAGCCGCGGUAAUACGUAGGGGGC
rnacentral:rRNA from 1 species